UACGUAGGUGGCAAGCGAUACUCGGAAUCACUAGGCGUAAAGCGCAGGUAGGAGGUUUGGUAAGUCUAUUGUGAAAGCUCCCGGCUUAACUGGGAGAGGUCAAUGGAAACUACCAGGCUAGAGUGCGGUAGAGGUAGCUGGAAUUCCCGGCGUAGCGGUGAAAUGCGUAGAUAUCGGGAGGAAUACCUAUGGCGAAAGCAGGCUACUGGACCGUCACUGACUCUGAUCUGCGAAAGCUAGGGGAGCAAACAGG
rnacentral:rRNA from 1 species